rnacentral:rRNA from 1 species
CUUCGGCUAGGAUGCUGGCGUAAUGGUUGUAAACGGCCCGUCUUGAAACACGGACCAAGGAGUCUAACAUCUGUGCGAGUGUUUGGGUGUCAAACCCGUACGCGUAAUGAAAGUGAACGGAGGCGGGAACCCCUCGGGGUGCACCGUCGACCGAUCCUGAUGUCUUCGGAUGGAUUUGAGUAAGAGCAUAGCUGUUGGGACCCGAAAGAUGGUGAACUAUGCCUGAAUAGGGUGAAGCCAGAGGAAACUCUGGUGGAGGCUCGCAGCGGUUCUGACGUGCAAAUCGAUCGUCAAAUUUGGGCAUAGGGGCGAAAGACUAAUCGAACUAUCUAGUAGCUGGUUCCUGCCGAAGUUUCCCUCAGGAUAGCAGUAACGUUUUCAGUUUUAUGAGGUAAAGCGAAUGAUUAGAGGCCUGGGGGUUGAAACAACCUUCACCUAUUCUCAAACUUUAAAUAUGUAAGAAGUCCUUGUUGCUUAGUUGAACGUGGACAUUUGAAUGUAUCGUUACUAGUGGGCCAUUUUUGGUAAGCAGAACUGGCGAUGCGGGAUGAACCGAACGCGGAGUUAAGGUGCCGGAAUGCACGCUCAUCAGACACCACAAAAGGUGUUAGUUCAUCUAG